UACGUAGGGUGCAAGCGUUGUCCGGAUUUAUUGGGCGUAAAGCGCGUGUAGGCGGUUUGGUAGGUCCGCUGUGAAAACUCGAGGCUCAACCUCGAGCUGUCGGUGGAAACCGUGUGGCUAGAGUCCGGAAGAGGAGAGUGGAAUUCCCGGUGUAGCGGUGAAAUGCGCAGAUAUCGGGAAGAACACCCGUGGCGAAGGCGGCUCUCUGGGACGGGACUGACGCUGAGACGCGAAAGCGUGGGGAGCGAACAGG
rnacentral:rRNA from 1 species